GGAAAUAUUUCUUGACAUUGCAUGCUUCUUCAAAUUGUGGGAUAAAAAUAGAGCUAUAAGUAUAUUAGAAGGUUGUGGGUUCUAUGCAAAAUGUGGAAUAAGUGGGCUCAUUGAUAAAUCUCUCAUAAGCAUUUCAGGAAAUAAUACAUUGCAGAUGCAUGACUUGGUACAACAAAUGGGUAAAGAUAUUGUUGGUGAGGAGAAAGAGAUUGGAAAACGAAGUAGAUUGUAUAAUUCUAAGGAUUUAUACAAAUUAUUGAACAAAGAUAUGAGGACUAAAAGAGUUGAAAGCAUUUUAGCAAACAUGUCCCAGAUUGGAUAUAUCGAACUGAGUUCUACAGCUUUCGUGAAAAUGAGUAAUCUUAGAUUACUCAAAUUAUACUCUAAUGGUCAGAUCAAACUAGUUCUUCCUGAAGGUCUUGAAUCUCUCCCCGAAGAGCUGAGAUAUUUGGAAUGGGAAAAUUAUCCUUUGAAAUGUUUACCAUCAAAAUUUUGUCCAGAGAAUCUUGUUGAACUUCACAUGCCCAGAAGUCAACUUGAACAACUUUGGAAUGAAGAUCAGGUUGCUGAAAAUUUGAAGGUUAUUGAAUUGGCGAACUCUGAGGAUCUGAUCAGAAUUCCACACCUGUCUAAAUCCCCAAAACUAGAGGUUUUAAUUUUCG
rnacentral:misc_RNA from 1 species